GAUCUCCCCAAAUGGUGUAUGGAUGACACGGCAAUUUGUAAGUCAUGUUGAUAGCAAUAACAACACCGUUCUUGCUUUUGGCCUGUCAUUUCACGCCAUAUAGUCUGUACUGACUGCAAUUUAAACGCAUCUGCGUGAAUAUGCUGCACUCAGCGCUAGUGACGUAGAACAAAAAUUAGUUAUUUUGAAGUUACGUUAGUGACUUUUGUCACGUGU